AGAGUUUGAUCCUGGCUCAGUACGAACGCUGGCGGCGUGCUUAACACAUGCAAGUCGAACGGAAAGGCCCUUCGGGGUACUCGAGUGGCGAACGGGUGAGUAACACGUGGGUGAUCUGCCCUGCACUUUGGGAUAAGCCUGGGAAACUGGGUCUAAUACCGAAUAUGACCAUGCGCCUCCUGGUGUGUGGUGGAAAGCUUUUGCGGUGUGGGAUGGGCCCGCGGCCUAUCAGCUUGUUGGUGGGGUAAUGGCCUACCAAGGCGACGACGGGUAGCCGGCCUGAGAGGGUGACCGGCCACACUGGGACUGAGAUACGGCCCAGACUCCUACGGGAGGCAGCAGUGGGGAAUAUUGCACAAUGGGCGCAAGCCUGAUGCAGCGACGCCGCGUGAGGGAUGACGGCCUUCGGGUUGUAAACCUCUUUCAGCACAGACGAAGCGCAAGUGACGGUAUGUGCAGAAGAAGGACCGGCCAACUACGUGCCAGCAGCCGCGGUAAUACGUAGGGUCCGAGCGUUGUCCGGAAUUACUGGGCGUAAAGAGCUCGUAGGUGGUUUGUCGCGUUGUUCGUGAAAACUCACAGCUUAACUGUGGGCGUGCGGGCGAUACGGGCAGACUUGAGUACUGCAGGGGAGACUGGAAUUCCUGGUGUAGCGGUGGAAUGCGCAGAUAUCAGGAGGAACACCGGUGGCGAAGGCGGGUCUCUGGGCAGUAACUGACGCUGAGGAGCGAAAGCGUGGGGAGCGAACAGGAUUAGAUACCCUGGUAGUCC
rnacentral:rRNA from 1 species